rnacentral:rRNA from 1 species
AGAACGAACGCUGGCGGCAUGCCUAACACAUGCAAGUCGAACGAGACCUUCGGGUCUAGUGGCGCACGGGUGCGUAACGCGUGGGAAUCUGCCCUUGGGUGCGGAAUAACAGUUGGAAACGACUGCUAAUACCGCAUAAUGACUCCGGUCCAAAGAUUUAUCGCCCAGGGAUGAGCCCGCGUAGGAUUAGCUAGUUGGUGAGGUAAAAGCUCACCAAGGCGACGAUCCUUAGCUGGUCUGAGAGGAUGAUCAGCCACACUGGGACUGAGACACGGCCCAGACUCCUACGGGAGGCAGCAGUGGGAAUAUUGGACAAUGGGCGAAAGCCUGAUCAGCAAUGCCGCGUGAGUGAUGAAGGCCUUAGGUUGUAAAGCUCUUUACCCGGGAUGAUAAUGACAGUACCGGAGAAUAACGCCCGACUAACUCCGUCGCCAGCACGCCGAC